rnacentral:rRNA from 1 species
UUCCGGUUGAUCCUGCCGGACCCGACUGCUAUCAGAGUGGGACUAAGCCAUGCGAGUCAACGUAGAAAUACGUGGCAAACGGCUCAGUAACACGUAGUCAACAUGCCCAGGGGACGUGGAUAACCUCGGGAAACUGAGGAUAAACCGCGAUAGGCCAUGAUUUCUGGAAUGGUUCAUGGCCGAAAUCUAUAUGGCCCCUGGAUUGGACUGCGGCCGAUCAGGCUGUUGGUGAGGUAAUGGCCCACCAAACCUGUAACCGGUACGGGCUCUGAGAGGAGGAGCCCGGAGAUGGGCACUGAGACAAGGGCCCAGGCCCUAUGGGGCGCAGCAGGCGCGAAAUCUCUGCAAUAGGCGAAAGCUUGACAGGGUUACUCUGAGUGAUUCCCGCUAAGGGGAUCUUUUGGCACCUUUAAAAAUGGUGCAGAAUAAGGGGUGGGCAAGUCUGGUGUCAGCCGCCGCGGUAAUACCAGCACCCCGAGUGGUCGGGACGAUUAUUGGGCCUAAAGCAUCCGUAGCCGGUACUGCAAGUCUUCCGUUAAAUCCACCUGCUUAACAGUUGGGCUGCGGGGGAUACUACAGUGCUAGGAGGCGGGAGAGGCAAGCGGUACUCAAUGGGUAGGGGUAAAAUCCGCUGAUCCAUUGAAGACCACCAGUGGCGAAGGCGGCUUGCCAGAACGCGCUCGACGGUGAGGGAUGAAAGCUGGGGGAGCAAACCGGAUUAGAUACCCGGGUAGUCCCAGCUGUAAACGAUGCAGACUCGGUGAUGGGCUGGCCUUGUGCCAACCCAGUGCCGCAGGGAAGCCGUUAAGUCUGCCGCCUGGGGAGUACGGUCGCAAGACUGAAACUAAAAGGAAUUGGCGGGGGAGCACCACAA